rnacentral:rRNA from 1 species
GAUGAACGCUAGCGGCAGGCCUAAUACAUGCAAGUCGAACGGGAUCCAGAUCAAAGCUUGCUUUGGUUUGGUGAGAGUGGCGCACGGGUGCGUAACGCGUGAGCAACCUACCCUUGUCAGGGGGAUAGCCCGGCGAAAGUCGGAUUAAUACCGCAUGACAUCAUUGAGAGGCAUCUUUCUAUGAUCAAAGAUUUAUCGGACAAGGAUGGGCUCGCGUGACAUUAGCUAGUUGGUAAGGUAACGGCUUACCAAGGCUACGAUGUCUAGGGGCUCUGAGAGGAGAAUCCCCCACACUGGUACUGAGACACGGACCAGACUCCUACGGGAGGCAGCAGUAAGGAAUAUUGGUCAAUGGACGGAAGUCUGAACCAGCCAUGCCGCGUGCAGGAGGACGGCCCUAUGGGUUGUAAACUGCUUUUAUACGGGAACAAACGUCGGUACGUGUACCGGUCUGAGUGUACCGUAAGAAUAAGGAUCGGCUAACUCCGU